rnacentral:rRNA from 1 species
GGGGAAUUUUCCGCAAUGGGCGAAAGCCUGACGGAGCAACGCCGCGUGAGGGAUGAAGGCCUCUGGGCUGUAAACCUCUUUUAUCAAGGAAGAAGAUCUGACGGUACUUGAUGAAUAAGCCACGGCUAAUUCCGUGCCAGCAGCCGCGGUAAUACGGGAGUGGCAAGCGUUAUCCGGAAUUAUUGGGCGUAAAGCGUCCGCAGGCGGUCUUACAAGUCUGUCGUUAAAGCGUGGAGCUUAACUCCAUUUCGGCGAUGGAAACUGUAAGACUAGAGUGUGGUAGGGGCAGAGGGAAUUCCCGGUGUAGCGGUGAAAUGCGUAGAUAUCGGGAAGAAC